rnacentral:rRNA from 1 species
CCUACGGGAGGCAGCAGUGGGGAAUUUUGGACAAUGGACGCAAGUCUGAUCCAGCCAUGCCGCGUGCGGGAAGAAGGCCUUCGGGUUGUAAACCGCUUUUGUCAGGGAAGAAAAGGUUCUGGUUAAUACCUGGGACUCAUGACGGUACCUGAAGAAUAAGCACCGGCUAACUACGUGCCAGCAGCCGCGGUAAUACGUAGGGUGCAAGCGUUAAUCGGAAUUACUGGGCGUAAAGCGUGCGCAGGCGGUUAUGCAAGACAGAGGUGAAAUCCCCGGGCUCAACCUGGGAACUGCCUUUGUGACUGCAUAGCUAGAGUACGGUAGAGGGGGAUGGAAUUCCGCGUGUAGCAGUGAAAUGCGUAGAUAUGCGGAGGAACACCGAUGGCGAAGGCAAUCCCCUGGACCUGUACUGACGCUCAUGCACGAAAGCGUGGGGAGCAAACAGGAUUAGAUACCCUGGUAGUCCACGCCCUAAACGAUGUCAACUGGUUGUUGGGAGGGUUUCUUCUCAGUAACGUAGCUAACGCGUGAAGUUGACCGCCUGGGGAGUACGGCCGCAAGGUUGAAACGUUAAAGGGAAUUGACGG